UACGUAGGGUGCAAGCGUUGUCCGGAAUUAUUGGGCGUAAAGAGCUCGUAGGCGGCUCGGUAAGUCGGAUGUGAAACCUCCAGGCUCAACCUGGAGACGCCAUCUGAUACUGCCGUGGCUUGAGUCCGGUAGAGGAGCAGGGAAUUCCUGGUGUAGCGGUGAAAUGCGCAGAUAUCAGGAGGAACACCAGCGGCGAAGGCGACAUCCUGGACCGGUAUUGACGCUGAGGCGCGAAAGCCAGGGGAGCAAACGGG
rnacentral:rRNA from 1 species